CCAGAGGGUAAAAGCUGAUCUUUCCAAGGAGCGAGGUUAGGUUGCCAACACCCAACAUUAUUUUAUUUAAAUCCAAAAAAAUAAUAAAAUGUUUUCAAGAACAGCUUUUCCUGGAGCAGUGUGGGUCCUUAACUCACACUGAGUUGUGAGUCGGGAUUUGGGAGAGGUGCAAAGCGACCUAGAAGUAAAAUGUUGUGUCUUAGCUAGAAGGUGAACUAUUUCCAACAGAUGUUACUAUUAUUUAUCCCAUGAUCUAAGGACACCUGCAGGGGGAAGGGAAGCCAGCCGAUCAGCCAUGGGGAAGCUCAUCCAUGGAGGGAAAACUCGAUCUGGACCUCCAGCCGACCACCUCGGCAGUCAGUUUCCGCAGAUGUUUGACAGCUCCCACACACUGCCGUGCCUUUGCUCUGGAUCGUGCUUUCCGUUGUCUCCGACAUGUUUUGAAAUCCAGCUUUGAUGGAUGUCUGUCUGCUGCUUUUGUCUGUCUGUCAUUUGCUGCUUUCUCUUUUGCCUGCUGUUCAAUGAAUAAACUCUCACAUUGGAAACUAA
rnacentral:lncRNA from 1 species